rnacentral:rRNA from 1 species
AGCAGGAAAGCAGGGGACCGCAAGGCCUUGCGCUCUUUGAGCGGCCGAUGUCAGAUUAGCUAGUUGGUGAGGUAAAGGCUUACCAAGGCGACGAUCUGUAGCGGGUCUGAGAGGAUGAUCCGCCACACUGGAACUGAGACACGGUCCAGACUCCUACGGGAGGCAGCAGUGGGGAAUUUUGGACAAUGGGGGCAACCCUGAUCCAGCCAUGCCGCGUGAGUGAAGAAGGCCUUCGGGUUGUAAAGCUCUUUCGGCCGGGAAGAAAUCGCAUGGGCCAAUACCCUGUGUGGAUGACGGUACCGGAAUAAGAAGCACCGGCUAACUACGUGCCAGCAGCCGCGGUAAUACGUAGGGUGCGAGCGUUAAUCGGAAUUACUGGGCGUAAAGCGUGCGCAGGCGGUUUUGUAAGACAGGCGUGAAAUCCCCGGGCUUAACCUGGGAACUGCGUUUGUGACUGCAAGGCUAGAGUACGGCAGAGGGGGGUGGAAUUCCACGUGUAGCAGUGAAAUGCGUAGAGAUGUGGAGGAACACCAAUGGCGAAGGCAGCCCCCUGGGUCGAUACUGACGCUCAUGCACGAAAGCGUGGGUAGCAAACAGGAUUAGAUACCCUGGUAGUCCACGCCCUAAACUAUGUCAACUAGGUGUUGGGUGGGUAAAACCAUUUAGUACCGUAGCUAACGCGUGAAGUUGACCGCCUGGGGAGUACGGCCGCAAGGUUAAAACUCAAAGGAAUUGACGGGGACCCGCACAAGCGGUGGAUGAUGUGGAUUAAUUCGAUGCAACGCGAAAAACCUUACCUACCCUUGACAUGCCAGGAACUUGCCAGAGAUGGCUUGGUGCCCGAAAGGGAGCCUGGACACAGGUGCUGCAUGGCUGUCGUCAGCUCGUGUCGUGAGAUGUUGGGUUAAGUCCCGCAACGAGCGCAACCCUUGUCGUUAAUUGCCAUCAUUUAGUUGGGCACUUUAACGAGACUGCCGGUGACAAACCGGAGGAAGGUGGGGAUGACGUCAAGUCCUCAUGGCCCUUAUGGGUAGGGCUUCACACGUCAUACAAUGGUCGGUACAAAGGGUUGCCAAGCCGCGAGGCGGAGCCAAUCCCAGAAAGCCGAUCGUAGUCCGGAUUGCAGGCUGCAACUCGCCUGCAUGAAGUCGGAAUCGCUAGUAAUCGUGGAUCAGCAUGUCACGGUGAAUACGUUCCCGGGUCUUGUACACACCGCCCGUCACACCAUGGGAGCGGGUUCCGCCAGAAGUAGGUAGCCUAACCGCAAGGGGGGCGCUUACCACGGCGGGGUUCGUGACUGGGGUGAAGUCGUGACAAGGUA